GAUGAAGAACGCAGCGAAAUGCGAUAAGUAAUGUGAAUUGCAGAAUUCAGUGAAUCAUCGAAUCUUUGAACGCACCUUGCGCUCUUUGGUAUUCCGAAGAGCAUGCCUGUUUGAGUGUCAUGAAAAUAUCAACCUUGACUUGGGUUUUGUGCUCUAGUCUCGGCUUGGAAUUGGGUGCUUGCCGCUUUUACGAGCGGCUCACCUUAAAUGUAUUAGCUGGAUCUGUCUUUGAGACUUGGUUUGACUUGGCGUAAUAAGUAUUUCGCUAAGGACAUUCUUCGGAGUGGCCUCGUUUCUAGGACGCUUGUCCGCUUUCCAAUACAAGUUCCACAUCGUGGACAUGACUUUUUAUUAUCUGGCCUCAAAUCAGGUAGGACUACCCGCUGAACUUAAGCAUAUCAAUGAGCGGAGGA
rnacentral:misc_RNA from 1 species